AAUAGACUUCCCCUCCCUGGGCUAUUGAGUGAUCUGUCAUGAAGAUGAGGGGGAAAGUAACCCAGAAGCCUGGGACAGAGGAGAGAUCAGUCUCAAAGGGCUUCGCACACAAGAUGGAGUCCUAUCUCUGAUAUCCGUGUUUAAAAGAAAAGAGAGAAAAAAAGCUGGGCGUGGGUGCCACCAGGAUUCCACCAGGAGAGGAAGUCAGAAACCGGUCUGAGGUCCACCUUUCCCCUUGGAGCAUCUGCACGCCAGGCAGGAAGGGGAAGGCAGAGCCUAGGAUGAGAGGGAUCCUGCCUGAUUUGGAGCAAGUUCCUUACCAUACCUGAAGGACUAGAGAAGAGAAAAGCCCUCCUUCAGGAGUCUUAGAUGUGGCUCUUUUAGGCAAAGGGUCUCCCCCAUGGAAAUUUUUUAAUGAAGCAGCUCUCUGAGACG
rnacentral:lncRNA from 1 species